rnacentral:rRNA from 1 species
UCAGGAUGAACGCUGGCGGCGUGCCUAACACAUGCAAGUCGAACGGAUUUUGUUCGCUGACAAAGCUUCGGCAGAGUCUUGAACAAAGUUAGUGGCGGACGGGUGAGUAACGCGUGGGCAACCUGCCUCAUACUGGGGGAUAACAGCUGGAAACGACUGUUAAUACCGCAUAAGCGCACAGUGUCGCAUGACACAGUGUGAAAAACUCCGGUGGUAUGAGAUGGGCCCGCGUCAGAUUAGCUAGUUGGUAAGGUAACGGCUUACCAAGGCGACGAUCUGUAGCCGGACUGAGAGGUCGGACGGCCACAUUGGGACUGAGACACGGCCCAAACUCCUACGGGAGGCAGCAGUGGGGGAUAUUGCACAAUGGAGGAAACUCUGAUGCAGCGACGCCGCGUGAGUGAAGAAGUAUCUCGGUAUGUAAAGCUCUAUCAGCAGGGAAGAAAGGCCCGUAAGGGAGAUGACGGUACCUGACUAAGAAGCCCCGGCUAACUACGUGCCAGCAGCCGCGGUAAUACGUAGGGGGCAAGCGUUAUCCGGAUUUACUGGGUGUAAAGGGAGCGCAGACGGUUAUGCAAGUCUGAAGUGAAACCCCACGGCUCAACCGUGGGCUUGCUUUGGAAACUGUAUAACUAGAGUACUGGAGAGGUAAGCGGAAUUCCUAGUGUAGCGGUGAAAUGCGUAGAUAUUAGGAGGAACAUCGGUGGCGAAGGCGGCUUACUGGACAGCAAC